GGUCCUUGCCAGUUGGUAGAGCAUGGUGUUUGCAACGCCAGUGUUGUGGGUUUGAUUCCCACGGGGGACCA
rnacentral:tRNA from 1 species